GGCUACCUCGGACCGUGUCCACAGACCUGCCUGUCUGCAGCGGGCUGAUUCGGUGUUUUCAGCGCGACUCUGGAUCAUAAUAUUAGGAACUGAAGCAACAAGGACAACAAUAAUUCCUGGUGUUACUUGAAGAACACUUGAUUUCCCAGCAGUAUUCUGUGUGCUCUAGACAAACUGACUUAAUCUUCCAACAACCCUUUAAGGGAGGUCUCACUAUGUAGAUCAGGGUGGCCUUGAACUCAGAGAUGAUCCUCCUGCCUCAACCUCCUGAGUGCUGGAAUUACAGCUCUGACAGGAGGAAGUAUGAACGAGUCUGAUAGAAUCUGAGCCUAGAAUAGACACACAUCAUUUGUAGUCACAUUCUGUGGUGGAAAAUAUCACCUUGCUAUAUUUGACUGUAAAAUAGUUGGAGCAUUUAAUUCAACUGUAUAUGUAGAAGAAAAUGGAGAGUUGGGUAAGUUGUUGGGUAAAUUUUAACUAUUUCAUUUACAAAAUUUCCCUUGUAUUUCCAGGGAUGAGAUGCCCUUUAUUUGUAAUGCAUAAAUUCUCCCCACCUUCAUUGAUAAGUGAUGAAUAACUGACAUAUCAUAUGCUAGGAAAAUUAGAUUUGGAUUCCAGGAAUUAGAAAGUGAAAUUCCAAGGCAAUCUUUGUGACUGGUAUUACACCCAUUUAAUUAGUGAGGUUCCAGGACAGAGGGGCCAGGGGUGAGAAGAAAAUAACCCAAAAGAAUACCAAAAGGUCUGGGUGUCUGUUGAUUUUCCAAUUUCUGAUCCCAGACCCCUUCCAAACACUGAAGAGUUAGUCAUAUUGAUGAAAUGAACUCAUACCCUUUAAGUCCCCUUUUGAUUAAGGUAACUCAUGC
rnacentral:lncRNA from 1 species